CCCUUAGAUGUCCUGGGCCGCACGCGCGCUACACUGACAUGUUCAACAAGCCUCCUAGUUCGACAGGAUUUGGGAAAUCUUUGAACGCAUGUCGUGAUAGGGAUAGAUCAUUGCAAUUAUUGAUCUUGAACGAGGAAUUCCUAGUAAACGCGAGUCAUCAGCUCGCAUUGAUUACGUCCCUGCCCUUUGUACACACCGCCCGUCGCACCUACCGAUUGAAUGUUUCGGUGAAGAUUCCGGAUAGGACUUUUUUGAUUUAUUUCAAUUCUGUCUUAAAAGCUAUCUAAACCUCAACAUUUAGAGGAAGGUGAAGUCGUAACA
rnacentral:rRNA from 1 species